UACGGCCAUAUCACGUUGAAACACCGGUUCCCGUACGAUCACCAAAGUUAAGCAACGUCGAGCCUGAUCAGCACCUAGACGGGUGAUCGCUUGGGAAUACCAGGUGCUGUAAG